ACGAGGGGCCCGAGCGUUAAUCGGAAUCACUGGGCUUAAAGGGUGCGCAGGCGGACUUGUAAGCAUCUUGUGAAAUCCCCCGGCUCAACCGGGGAACUGCAGGGUGAACUGCAAGUCUUGAGACAGGUAGGGGCAGAUGGAACUGUCGGUGGAGCGGUGAAAUGCUUAGAUAUCGACAGGAACGCCAAUGGCGAAGGCAAUCUGCUGGGCCUGUUCUGACGCUCAGGCACGAAAGCGUGGGGAGCAAACAGG
rnacentral:rRNA from 1 species